CCACCUCCCCUCUCCCCCAGAUUUACUCCCCUCCAGCUUCCCUCAGAAAAGAGCAGGCCUCCCAGGGACAUCGAUCAAAUACGGCAUAUUUAAAUAGGCACAUCCAUCGCACCACAUCAAGGUUGGACGAGGCAAUUCAGUAAGGGAAAUGGUCCCAUAAGCAGGCAAAAGAAUCGGGGACAGCCCCCACUCCCAUGGUUAGGAUUCCCACAGAACCACCAAGCUACUCAGACAUAACACAGAAGCUCUGGCUAGUUUUUAUGUCAACUUGACAGGAGCCAGAGUCAUCUGAAAGGAGGGAACUGCAACUGAGAAAAUGCCUGUCAUAAGAUGCUGAUCAGCUGGGCUGAAGAAUCAGCUGUGAUUCACUGAAGUCAAAUCUCCUGGGAAGUGUUUCCUCAGAAGCCGUGCUCCAGAGGUGGCCAAGGUUGAACCUCAUGCCGGCAGCCGAACUUGGUUGCGUAAGAGUGACCCAGCUGAUAACUGCUUUAAAGGUAUAAAGGGAUCAUGGACAGCAGCUGAGGCUUGACCCUGUGUGGCAGGCCUGGAGUCCCUGAAAAGAGCCCAGGAGAGGUUAAAGGUGAAAGUGCAGCCCAGCUCCUGUAGAAGAGUCCAGCAUUUUGGAGAUGCCAGUACCAGGGGACAACCUCCAAGAACAGCAGCAGGUGUGGAGUGGAGCCAGCCUGAGCCUAGAAGACAUGUUCUGUGUGCUACAGAGGACAGAGCCAGAGAAGUGACCAGGCCCUUUGGAGGAGCUCAGAAGAUCAGGAGAGACGUCCAGACAUUGGAGGCUGAGUCAUUUACUGUUGGAACUUGGUUUUGCUUUGCUCAGGCUAUCUGUGGGCUGGUUCUUCUCUCUUGAGGUAAUAAAGUAACUUAUAUUUUAUUUUACAGGAGCAAAUUUGAAUAUUUUAAAGAGACUUUGGACUUUUACUAUUUGAAUUUUAUUUAUUUAUUUCAUGUAUGUGAGUACACUGUCGCUAUCUUCAGACACACCAGAAGAGGACAUCGGAUCCUCAUUACAGAUGGU
rnacentral:lncRNA from 1 species